ACAAUGCGGGACUAUACGUCUUGCAAUUGGAUUGAGAACAAUGUACAACUCUUAUCGAUAAGCCAUUGGAGGGCAAGUCUGGUGCCAGCAGCCGCGGUAAUUCCAGCUCCAAUAGCGUAUAUUAACGUUGUUGCAGUUAAAAAGCUCGUAGUUGAAGUGUGGGUGAUCGCUGUUGUGAGACUUCGGUCUCUCGACAGUAAGUCACCCCCUUCCAGUAUCCAGUAGUGGGUAUUCAGUUACUUACUACUGUGUGUUGGUCCUUUACUGUGAGAAAAUUAGAGUGUUCAAAGCAGGCGUUUGCUUGAAUAGAUUAGCAUGGAAUAAUAAUUGAAGGCUUUCGUGUUCGAUUUGAUUGGUUUGUUCAUGGAAGCAAGGUUAAAAGGAACAGUUGGGGGUAUUCAUAUUCACUACUUAGAGGUGAAAUUCUCGGAUUUAUGGAA
rnacentral:rRNA from 1 species